CCUACGGGAGGCAGCAGUGAGGAAUAUUGGUCAAUGGGCGAGAGCCUGAACCAGCCAAGUCGCGUGAGGGAGUACUGCCCUAUGGGUUGUAAACCUCUUUUGUCGGGGAGCAAAAGCCGGACGUGUCCGGCUGUGAGAGUACCCGAAGAAAAAGCAUCGGCUAACUCCGUGCCAGCAGCCGCGGUAAUACGGAGGAUGCGAGCGUUAUCCGGAUUUAUUGGGUUUAAAGGGUGCGCGGGCGGAUUUUUAAGUCAGCGGUAAAAUCGUGGGGCUCAACCCCAUCAAGCCGUUGAAACUGGGGAUCUAGAGUGUGCGAGAGGUAGGCGGAAUGCGUGGUGUAGCGGUGAAAUGCAUAGAGAUCACGCAGAACCCCGAUUGCGAAGGCAGCAUACCGGUGCACAACUGACGCUCAGGCACGAAAGCGUGGGUAUCGAACAGGAUUAGAUACCCCAGUAGUC
rnacentral:rRNA from 1 species